UUUAAUUAAAACAGUAUCUUAAAUGGGAAGUUGGUGAGUGAUAGAAUUAUCACAAUGCCGACACUGCCCCCGCAACGGUAGAUAAGUUAAGAAAAAUCAGUAGCCACUGUAUUUAUAUGGGAAGGCGAUUUUUUGGGUUGUUUUUAAAAUCAACCACUUAUAAGUCCGGAUACCUGCCUGAAAGU
rnacentral:ncRNA from 1 species